CUACCGCCCCGGGGAUCCUGAGCCCACGUCGCGCUCACCCUUCUCCUUGGUCAUAAUGGAGAUGAGAGGCAUCCGCGGGCGGUCACUGAACACUUCAGCCUGCUGCACUAGCGCCUCGCGCACGCUGUGGAAGUCGCUGAGGACCACCACCAGACGGUGGCCGAUGAAGAAGCUGAAGAUGUUGCCAUAGACACGGGCCAUCCUGGCCAGGUACACAUGCUGGCCCACCGUGUCCGUCUGGCUGCCCGAGCCCAGCCAGAACUGCGGUCGUAGAAAGCGCGGCACCAGCAAGUGCCCGAAGUUACCCACGAGUGGCCGAGGCUUGGGCCCCGGAGGGAUGCCGUAUGCGCGCUGCCGCCGCAGCCAAAUCCAGCCUAGCAGCACCGCCAGCACGCAAAGCAGCAGCGCGCCUCCUAUCGCCCGCACGUGCAGUCUAGCUCCCGGCUGCUCCCCUGCCGCGGGACGCUGGCCCCCGAGCGAGGACAUGCCCCAGGUACUGCCUGUAUCUAGCUCCGCCGCAGAGACGCCAGCACCGGCGACAGUAGCCGGCUACAUGACUCGAAGGUCACCCGCGAGGCAGGGCAAGGCACGCCCUUCCGAUUGGCUGCGCCGCGUGCCCCUCUCGGCAUCCUCCAGUCAGCUGCUCUUGCAUAAGAAGUCAGCUGUCAUGUUGGUGAAGUAUCUGAGACUGCUUAAAAAACUGAACAAGUCAGGAUGGACUACUGGGUCCGAGACAAAGGGCUUUAUUUAUAGUACAUGGACAUGGUAGCAGCCCAUGUGAGCAUGUCACUUUGGACUCCCUAGUCCUCCAACAAGGUCCACAGUAAGGGACACUGAGGAAGUCAAGGUGGAUGCUACAUAGGUAGUGUCUGCAUCUCCACUGAGUAACUCUGAACUUGCAUCCCUGUCAUGCCCAACAAAUAUAGAUUAAGAGGGAUGCUGAGGGCCCAUGGUAGGAUGCAUUUGGAUGAAACAAAAUCUAGGCCUAACUGUCCAUAGAAAUAAUUACCUUCCUGUGUCCUGGAGUGAUGCUGGUGAGUGAUCUGAACUUUUCAAUAUAUGAGUCGGCAGCUGUGUUAGUUCUUUUUCUGUUGCCAUGUUACAAUACCAUGACCAAGGCAACUUAGAGAGGAAAGCAUUUGACAGUUUCAGAGGGGUAAGACUAUGUCAUGGGGAUACAUGGGGGCAAGCCGCAGGCAUGGAAGCAGGGGCAGAAAGCUGAGGGCUCAUCUUGAACUGCAAGCACAAAGCAGAGAGUAAACUAGAAAUGCACGUUUUUUAACUCUGGAAGCCCACCCCAUGCACCAUGCCUCAGCUCCAAUAAGGCCACACCUCCUGAGCCUCUCCAAAGACACCACCAACUGGGGGCCGUGGAUUCAAAUGCCCAUGAUGGGGAACAUCUCAUUCAACAGUAGUUAUCGGUGAGUUGGCACUGCAUCUCAACAGCAGGACUGCAUCUAUCAGCAGCUCUGGUGACAUGCACAUGCUGACACUCAGAUACCUGGUGAACAAAGCUCGGUUUGCUGUCUUCCUAUCUCUCAGGAGAUAAAAAUGUCAGGUUGAAUAUCAUCACAGCGCUCCAUUACCUCUAGACAGAAUGGCAUCAUUAUCUGGAGUGAAUGAAGGCUCUUUGUAAGCCCAUGACCACAGAGAUCUCUGAACAGAACACCCUAUAAUCUCGGAGCUGAGCCCACUGUUAAAACAGGCACAGAGGCGACACUGUUCCACUCCCCAGUGUGGUGGGGAUAGGUUGUAAAACUCUGCCAGUGACACUAGUGGAAACUUUGAUCCACGGUCGCUGUCUAGUCCUCGUGCUGGGACUCGCAGGCACACUAUGACUCUAAAAUCAGUAACUGAAACACAAGCUUCUCACCCAGCAUGGGUGGCAACCAACUUUUCUACGACCACUCUCAUUUUCAUUUUAUGUUCGUUAUUGCUCAGGAGCCUUGCACACGGUUCGGCCAUGUGAAGCAUCCCCUUGGCUCUACAAUGGAGGCAGCUUAGGGAGUGAGCAGGGGCCCUUCCCUCAAGCACUUCUUAAAGCACUGGGAGAACUUGAUGCUUUCACAGGAAGCCCUGUGAGCUUCAUACCAAGAAAACAAGAGGACCAAUCAGCCUGUUGGUGGGAGCUCUGGACUGCGCUUAAUUCAAUGGACCAUUCACAUCAGUACCACACACUGUAGACAAGCACGGCUGAGGCUGAGGCUGAGGCUGAGGCUGAGGCUGAGGCUGAGGCUGAGACUGCCACAGCAGUUGGCCUGUGAUCCGGAGACGACGUCAUCACUGGGAUGAGCUUCCCUGCCACCCUGGCAGAUAGGACACAGGCUCUCUGUAGACCUUUGCUCUGUCAUUUUCAGACCGCACAGGGAUAAAGGCUGCACCACACCCAGCAACCCCAUCUCUGAGCCCUUUGUCUUACCUAGCUCCGCCCAUCCCAUUAGGCUGCAUUUACAUAGUCAUUUCAACUUCAUCAGGGAGUCCAAAUGUAACCUUCUGAAGCCUGCCUUGGACAUGGCUAGGGGUCCACUUGAGGUCAUUACACAAAGGAUCCUGUUGUGACAUUUCCUGCAGAACUUGGGGGCCAGGAAAGAACCUCCUUGUAUUGAGGGGUUAGUGAGCUUGCUUCUGUCAACAGCAAUAAUCAUAAACUUGGAUUGUAUAACUGAUUUUUUUCAUCCAUAAAUGUCCUAAUUUUUUAACCUUAAAAUUUGUUGGUAGGAAAAAUAAUAAAUUUUAGUUUACUU
rnacentral:lncRNA from 1 species